rnacentral:rRNA from 1 species
ACUGAACGCUGGCGGCAGGCCUAACACAUGCAAGUCGAGCGGUAACACAGGGAGCUUGCUCCCGGGUGACGAGCGGCGGACGGGUGAGUAAUGUCUGGGAAACUGCCUGAUGGAGGGGGAUAACUACUGGAAACGGUAGCUAAUACCGCAUAACGUCGCAAGACCAAAGAGGGGGACCUUCGGGCCUCUUGCCAUCAGAUGUGCCCAGAUGGGAUUAGCUAGUAGGUGGGGUAAUGGCUCACCUAGGCGACGAUCCCUAGCUGGUCUGAGAGGAUGACCAGCCACACUGGAACUGAGACACGGUCCAGACUCCUACGGGAGGCAGCAGUGGGGAAUAUUGCACAAUGGGCGCAAGCCUGAUGCAGCCAUGCCGCGUGUAUGAAGAAGGCCUUCGGGUUGUAAAGUACUUUCAGCGGGGAGGAAGGUGCUGAGGUUAAUAACCUCAGCAAUUGACGUUACCCGCAGAAGAAGCACCGGCUAACUCCGUGCCAGCAGCCGCGGUAAUACGGAGGGUGCAAGCGUUAAUCGGAAUUACUGGGCGUAAAGCGCACGCAGGCGGUCUGUCAAGUCGGAUGUGAAAUCCCCGGGCUCAACCUGGGAACUGCAUUCGAAACUGGCAGGCUAGAGUCUUGUAGAGGGGGGUAGAAUUCCAGGUGUAGCGGUGAAAUGCGUAGAGAUCUGGAGGAAUACCGGUGGCGAAGGCGGCCCCCUGGACAAAGACUGACGCUCAGGUGCGAAAGCGUGGGGAGCAAACAGGAUUAGAUACCCUGGUAGUCCACGCCGUAAACGAUGUCGACUUGGAGGUUGUGCCCUUGAGGCGUGGCUUCCGGAGCUAACGCGUUAAGUCGACCGCCUGGGGAGUACGGCCGCAAGGUUAAAACUCAAAUGAAUUGACGGGGGCCCGCACAAGCGGUGGAGCAUGUGGUUUAAUUCGAUGCAACGCGAAGAACCUUACCUACUCUUGACAUCCAGAGAACUUUCCAGAGAUGGAUUGGUGCCUUCGGGAACUCUGAGACAGGUGCUGCAUGGCUGUCGUCAGCUCGUGUUGUGAAAUGUUGGGUUAAGUCCCGCAACGAGCGCAACCCUUAUCCUUUGUUGCCAGCGGUCCGGCCGGGAACUCAAAGGAGACUGCCAGUGAUAAACU